AGUCGAGGGGUAUUUAUCUUCGGAUAGAGAGACCGGCGCACGGGUGCGUAACGCGUAUGCAAUCUACCUUUUACAGAGGGAUAGCCCAGAGAAAUUUGGAUUAAUACCUCAUAGUAUAAUGACUCGGCAUCGAGAUAUUAUUAAAGUCACAACGGUAAAAGAUGAGCAUGCGUCCCAUUAGCUAGUUGGUAAGGUAACGGCUUACCAAGGCUACGAUGGGUAGGGGUCCUGAGAGGGAGAUCCCCCACACUGGUACUGAGACACGGACCAGACUCCUACGGGAGGCAGCAGUGAGGAAUAUUGGACAAUGGGCGCAAGCCUGAUCCAGCCAUGCCGCGUGCAGGAUGACGGUCCUAUGGAUUGUAAACUGCUUUUAUACGAGAAGAAACACUCCGACGUGUCGGAGCUUGACGGUAUCGUAAGAAUAAGGAUCGGCUAACUCCGUGCCAGCAGCCGCGGUAAUACGGAGGAUCCAAGCGUUAUCCGGAAUCAUUGGGUUUAAAGGGUCCGUAGGCGGUUUAAUAAGUCAGUGGUGAAAGCCCAUCGCUCAACGGUGGAACGGCCAUUGAUACUGUUAAACUUGAAUUAUUAGGAAGUAACUAGAAUAUGUAGUGUAGCGGUGAAAUGCUUAGAGAUUACAUGGAAUACCAAUUGCGAAGGCAGGUUACUACUAAUGGAUUGACGCUGAUGGACGAAAGCGUGGGUAGCGAACAGGAUUAGAUACCCUGGUAGUCCACGCCGUAAACGAUGGAUACUAGCUGUUGGGU
rnacentral:rRNA from 1 species